UCUCUCUUCUCUCCCAACUUUCUUCAUCCACCACCAUUGUUGAGCAAGUAAAAAGCUUCACAAGCCACUUCUACACCAUAAUCACCUAUUAGAUCAAGCUAAAAAUAUCCAUAUAUAUCCUUAAAACAAAAGCUUGCUUGAACGCUUGAGCUUCGAGUCAAGAAGGUGGAGCUAUAUUUUUCUCCACAAAAAUCAUAAGAAUACGAGUCGAGGGCGUAAGUGAGAUCACUCCAAAGCACGAGAGCUAAAGCUAGGAUUCCCAGGAUGAGCAAGGUGAGAGAUUGGCUGGCCGCUGGAGGGUUUGUUGUUUCAGACGUCUUUUGGUACCGUAUUCUGUUCCCAUACGGUAGUAUGAACAGUUGAAGAUUAUUUUUUUUUAACUUAAUUAAGAUUGUCACUCUCAGCUAUAUGUCUUCAUACAUAUAGUCUGAUCACGUUUUGUUGUGCUACCCUGAACAAUAUGAAUUCCUGUAAAUAUUUAGCUAUACUCCCUUUGUUUUUGUUGACAAGAAACCUGAUACUUUUGAAUUUAUG